rnacentral:rRNA from 1 species
UACGGAGGGGGCUAGCGUUGUUCGGAAUUACUGGGCGUAAAGCGCGCGUAGGCGGACCUGCAAGUCGGGGGUGAAAGCCCGAGGCUCAACCUCGGAACUGCCUUCGAUACUGCGGGUCUCGAGUCCGGGAGAGGUGAGUGGAAUUCCGUAGUGUAGAGGUGAAAUUUCGUAGAUAUUAGGAAGAACACCAGUGGCGAAGGCGGCUCACUGGCUCGGUACUGACGCUGAGGCGCGAAAGCGUGGGGAGCGAACAGG